UCUGGCUUAUAGCCAAGCGGUUCUACUAGAGUGCCCAACUGAAUGAUGGUAACUAGUAGCGAGGGUUGCGCUCGUUGCGGGACUUAACCCAACAUCUCACAACACGAGCUGACGACAGCCAUGCAGCACCUGUCUCCGCGUCCCCGAAGGGAACCCCUGCUUUCACAGGGUAGCGCGGGAUGUCAAGCCCAGGUAAGGUUUUUCGCGUAGCAUCGAAUUAAACCACAUGCUCCACCGCUUGUGCGGGCCCCCGUCAAUUCCUUUGAGUUUUAAUCUUGCGACCGUACUUCCCAGGCGGGAUACUUAACGCGUUAGCUACGUCACCGAUUCAAUUAGGUAAACCGACGACUAGUAUCCAUCGUUUAGGGCGUGGACUAC
rnacentral:misc_RNA from 1 species